rnacentral:rRNA from 1 species
GAUGAACGCUGGCGGUGUGCCUAAUACAUGCAAGUCGAGCGAACAGACGAGGAGCUUACUCCUCUGACGUUAGCGGCGGACGGGUGAAUAACACGUGGAUAACCUACCUAUAAGACUGGGAUAACUUCGGGAAACCGGAGCUAAUACCGGAUAACAUGUUGAACCGCAUGGUUCAACAGUGAAAGACGGUCUUGCUGUCACUUAUAGAUGGAUCCGCGUCGCAUUAGCUAGUUGGUAAGGUAACGGCUUACCAAGGCAACGAUGCGUAGCCGACCUGAGAGGGUGAUCGGCCACACUGGAACUGAGACGCGGUCCAGACUCCUACGGGAGGCAGCAGUAGGGAAUCUUCCGCAAUGGGCGAAAGCCUGACGGAGCAACGCCGCGUGAGUGAAGAAGGUCUUCGGAUCGUAAAACUCUGUUAUUAGGGAAGAACAAAUGUGUAAGUAACUAUGCACGUCUUGACGGUACCUAAUCAGAAAGCCACGGCUAACUACGUG